rnacentral:rRNA from 1 species
GAUAAACGCUGGCGGCGUGCAUAACACAUUCAAGUCGAACGGACCUUGUGGAAUAGUUUACUAGGAAAUAAGGUUAGUGGCGGACGGGUGAGUAACGCGUGAGCAACCUGCCUAUCAGUGGGGAAUAACGUUUGGAGACGAACGCUAAUACCGCAUAAAGUAUAUUUACCGCAUGAUAGAUAUACCAAAGAUUUAUUGCUGAUAGAUGGGCUCGCGUCUGAUUAGGUAGUUGGUAGGGUAAAGGCCUACCAAGCCGACGAUCAGUAGCCGGUCUGAGAGGGUGAUCGGCCACAUUGGAACUGAGAAACGGUCCAA